AAUAAACGCUGGUGGCAUGCUUUAUACAUGCAAGUCGAGCGAAGACUAGAUUUGUAGUAGAAAUGAUUGAUUUUCACUUUGUGGAGAUUAUGAGUUUUUGCUAUUCCUGGUCUUAGCGGCGAACGGGUGAGUAACGCGUGAAUAAUCUGCCCUUGAAAUCGGGAUACCAUUCCGAAAGGAAUGCUAAUACCGAAUAACGUUAUGAAACGUAGGUUUUAUAACCAAAGUUGAAUCUUCGGAUUCUUCGUUCAAGGAUGAGUUCGCGUCCUAUUAGCUAGUUGGUGAGGUAAAGGCUCACCAAGGCUAUGAUGGGUAGCCGGCCUGAGAGGGCGUACGGCCACAUUGGGACUGAGACACGGCCCAGACUCCUACGGGAGGCAGCAGUAGGGAAUCUUCCGCAAUGGGCGAAAGCCUGACGGAGCGAUGCCACGUGGAUGACGGAGGCCUUCGGGUCGUAAAAUCCUGUCAGGAGGGACGAUGGUCAAUUUUCGGAUUGAUUGACGGUACCUCCAGAGGAAGCUCCGGCCAACUACGUGCCAGCAGCCGCGGUAAUACGUAGGGAGCAAGCGUUGUUCGGAUUUACUGGGCGUAAAGAGUGCGUAGGUGGCUAUACAAGUCAAGGGUGAAAUCUCUACUUUCAAGGUAGAAACUGCCUUUGAUACUGUAUGGCUAGAGGACAAGAGGGGGAAAUGGAACUCUGGGAGUAGCGGUGAAAUGCGUAGAUAUCCAGAGGAACGCCAGUAGCGAAGGCGGUUUCCUGGCUUGUUUCUGACACUGAGGCACCAAAGCUAGGGGAGCGAUCGGGAUUAGAGACCCCGGUAGUCCUAGCCCUAAACGAUGGGUACUAGGUGGGGGGGGAGCAUUACCCUCUGUGCCGAAGCUAACGCGUUAAGUACCCCGCCUGGGGAGUACGGUCGCAAGACUGAAACUCAAAAGAAUUGACGGGGGGCUGAACAAGCAGUGGAGCACGUGGUUUAAUUCGACGCAAAGCGAAGAACCUUACCAGGACUUGACAUGCUAGUAGUAGUGAUCCGAAAGGUGAGCCAUCCAGGCUUCGGCUUGGAAGCUAGCACAGGUGGUGCAUGGUUGUCGUCAGCUCGUGCCGUGAGGUGUCGGGUUAAGUCCUUUAACGAGCGCAACCCUUGUCCUUAGUAACCAGCGGUUCGGCCGGGCACUCUAAGGAGACCGC
rnacentral:rRNA from 1 species